CCUACGGGAGGCAGCAGUGGGGAAUAUUGCACAAUGGGGGAAACCCUGAUGCAGCGACGCCGCGUGAGUGAAGAAGUAUUUCGGUAUGUAAAGCUCUAUCAGCAGGGAAGAAAAUGACGAUACCCACAGAGGAAGCACCGGCUAACUCCGUGCCAGCAGCCGCGGUAAUACGGAGGGUGCAAGCGUUGUCCGGAGUCAUUGGGCGUAAAGAGAUCGUAGGCGGCAUGUAAAGUCAGGUGUUAAAGGCGCAGGCUCAACCUGUGUACGGCACUUGAUACUUGCAAGCUGGACUGCAGUAGAGGUAAAGGGAAUUCCUGGUGUAGCGGUGAAAUGCUUAGAUAUCAGGAGGAACAUCAGUGGCGUAAGCGCUUUACUGGGCCGUAAUUGACGCUGAGGAACGAAAGCCAGGGUAGCAAAUGGGAUUAGAUACCCUUGUAGUC
rnacentral:rRNA from 1 species